CGGGGGGGGGGGCAAGCGUUGUUCGGAAUUACUGGGCGUAAAGGGCGCGUAGGCGGACGAGACAGUCUUUCGUGAAAUCCCACGGGCUCAACCGUGGAACUGCGGGAGAUACUACUCGUCUUGAGUUCGGGAGAGGAGUGUGGAAUUCCCAGUGUAGCGGUGAAAUGCGUAGAUAUUGGGAGGAACACCGGUGGCGAAGGCGGCACUCUGGACCGAUACUGACGCUGAGGCGCGAAAGCUAGGGGAGCAAACGGGAUUAGAUACCCCGGUAGUCCUAGCUGUAAACGAUGAGCACUUGGUGUAGCGGGUAUCGACCCCUGCUGUGCCGGAGUUAACGCAUUAAGUGCUCCGCCUGGGGAGUACGGUCGCAAAGGCUG
rnacentral:rRNA from 1 species